rnacentral:rRNA from 1 species
UACGGGGGGGAGCAAGCGUUGUUCGGAAUUACUGGGCGUAAAGGGCGCGUAGGCGGCGUGACAAGUCACUUGUGAAAUCUCCGGGCUUAACUCGGAACGGUCAAGUGAUACUGUCGUGCUAGAGUACAGAAGGGGCAACUGGAAUUCUCGGUGUAGCGGUGAAAUGCGUAGAUAUUGGGAGGAACACCAGUGGCGAAGGCGGCUCACUGGACCGGUUCUGACGCUGAGGCGCGAAAGCGUGGGGAGCAAACGGG